rnacentral:lncRNA from 1 species
UUUGGUUCAUUUGUCCUAUAUGUGCAAAUCAAAAUUGGGCAAAUUUUUCCUUUUACUCGGAGUAGAGCAUAAACCUAAAAAAACGGAAUAAAAAAAGGAAGAAGCCCAUUUAGGAACAAGAAAAAACCAUCCCCAUUUCAACUGAAUCUCGAUGAAAAAAAAUAUCAAUGAAUCAAGUUAGUCUGACAGGCCUAAUCAAUCGUUUUAUUAUUUUAUUAUUAGGAUUAUAAUAUCUAAUAAAUAAAAGGGGCCAAAACUUAUUUAUUUUUUCUUUUACUUUUAAAAGGGAAGCAAGCCCUUCCCUUAUUAAGUUAGAAAGAAAAGCCUUCUCUGAAAAAAGGGGGGUUGGAAUCGACACAUUGAUUUUUUAACAAUUUUUGUUGAACCGUAUGCAUCAAAAGGUGUCUGUACGGCUCCUAAGGAAUAAAAUUUUAUCCUAAUCAACCGACUUUAUCGAGAAAUAUUGUUUUUUUAGGCCAAGAGGUUGAUACCAAAAUCUCGAAUCAACUUAUUAGUCUUAUGAUAUAUCUCAGUAUAGAAAAGGAUACCAAAGAUCUUUAUUUGUUUAUAAACUCUCCUGGUGGAUCGGUAAUAUCUGGAAUGGCUAUUUAUGAUACUAUGCAAUUUGUGCGACCCGAUGUACAGACAAUAUGCAUGGGAUUGGCCGCUUCAAUAGCAUCCUUUAUCCUAGUCGGAGGAGAAAUUACCAAACGUAUAGCAUUCCCUCACGCUUGGCGCCAAUGAGUUUUUUUUUUUAUUUUAGAGAAAAAAUACUAUACAUUCGCCCUCGGAAAUAUGAAUUAGUUAAGUAAUAAUAGCAUGGCACUUCAAAUUCAAUAUGAAAUUUUUUAGAUUAAAAAAAAUAGAUUAUAUAUUGAAAGAGUAGUAUGGGAUAAGAAAGAGGUAUUUAAAAUGAUAUCUUCCCUAUCCGGGCACAUCUCAGCGUCACAAACUUUGUUUUCACACCGAAAGCUUAUUUACAAAAAAAAAAGACACUUUGGGAUUGCUGAAUCAAAGACGUAUAAAACAAUGAUAUAUAAAGCAACGAAACCAUCAUAGUAUUUUUUUAACUCCUACAAAAUAAAAAAGAAGGAUGGUAAUUGGAUCAUUUAUGGAUCUGCGUAUAAUAGAACAUAUAUUUUGUUUUCUUUCGCCGAAAGGAAAGGUCAAAAACGUAAAUUCCAUUCUAGAGCCGUAUGCAACGCACAAAAAAAGCCUGUACGGUUAUUCAAUUUUCUCUGUUUUUUUGGUUAUCUCGCCUCAUUCUGCAAAAUAGAAAAAGCUUUUCUAUUAUAUCAUCAGGGUAAUGAUUCAUCAACCCGCUAGUUCGUUUUAUGAGGCACAAACGGGAGAAGUUAUCUUGGAAGCGGAAGAACUACUAAAACUUCGCGAAACCAUCACAAGGGUUUAUGUACAAAGAACGAGCAAACCUAUAUGGGUUGUAUCCGAAGAUAUGGAAAGGGAUGUUUUUAUGUCAGAAACAGAAGCCCAAGCUCAUGGAAUUGUUGAUCUUGUAGCGGUUCAAUAAAAAUAGGAGCGAUUUCAUGCAAAUCUACCAUUGCUAAUUUUAUAUAUUUUUAGAUUAAAGGUUUAGUUUCAUAUUCUCUUCAAUAUAUUUUUUUUAUAUUGAAGAGAAUCUUGAAGAGAAGCAAUUCAGAAUUAGCCGGUUAGAACCCAUCUGAACCAGCCCAUUAUUUAUAUGAUUCCGUAUGCCAACCAUUAAACAACUUAUUAGAAAUACAAGACAUCCAAUCCAAAAUUUCACAAAAUCCCCGGCGCUUCGGGAAUGCCCUCAGCGACGAGUAACAUGUACUCAGGUGUAUGUGCGACUCGUUUAGAUCAUAGACUGAAACACAAAAAGGAAAUUCUUUUUUAAAUAUCAAGGAUCAGUACCUGUUAAUAAAAUAGAAUGGAGGAACUCGAUUCAUUAUUUCAAAAAGAUAGAUCAUUCAUAUCUUCGAUUGUGUCUGAAACUUAUGGUUUACAUUGGUGCAAAUUCAAUCAACUCCAUUUUUUAGAAAACACCCAAUGAUAACAAAUGGUUAUCAAUUAAGCGGGGGAAAUCCCAUUUUUUAUUAAAAAGGUUCCACUCUUGAAAGAAAAAAACGGACUAACAGGGUAAAUGAUCAAAUCAAUUUUAAAAUAAAAUACCGUUACUGUAUAAAGUGGAUCUAAUUGUGAAAGACCUAUUACUGGAAUAUUAAUGGGGUAGAGCCAAAGAAUGUGAAUUGUACAAGCUACCAAUAGUAUUGAUUAAAAGAAGGAGCUCCGGUGUAUAGAGAGGACCUCACCGUUGUAGAAGUAACCAUAGAAACGAAUGAACCCACUAUUUAUCCAUUUCUAUUUGCUACUUUUUGUAGUUAUUAUAUUUUUUUUUAUAUCAAGUACCAAGAAAAUUUAUCAUUUCAAAGCAAAGGAAAAUACCUAGACAAAAAUAGUGGUGGGGAAGGUUAGAGUAGCAAAAGCCAUUGGAAUUUUUUUUUAUACAUUGGAAUAAUUCGUUUGGUUAUUAAUGACUAGUAAAGGGGGAAAUAAUAACUAAAAAAAGAAUUAGUUAUUCAUCAAAUUUUGAUUUAUUCAAUGACUAGAAUUAAACGCGGAUAUAUAGCUCGGAGGCAUAGAACAAAACUUCGUUUAUUUGCAUCAACCUUUCAAGAGGCUCAUUCCCGACUUACACGAACUAUGACUCAACAGAGAAUAAGAGCUUUAGUUUUGGCUAGUCGGGAUAGGGGUAAAAGAAAAAGAGAUUUUCGUCGUUUAUGGAUCACUCGAAUAAAUGCUGUAAUUCACGAAAUGGAGGUAUUCUAUAGUUAUAACUGAUUCAUACACAAUCUGUACAAGAAGCAAUUACUUCUUAAUCGAAAAAUACUUGCACAAAUAGCUCUAUUAAAUAGGAGUUGUCUUUAUACGAUUUCAAAUGAGAUAACAAAAUGAGGGGAUUGGAAGAAAUCCACUAAAAUAUUUGAAAUAGAGUUCUUAAGGAGAAUAAGCUCGGGGAGGGUAGAGUAGAAAUUAGUAUUAUAAAAAAAUCGUCAAAACAAAACGAGGGGUAUAUAGUCGCUAAAAAAUGACUUAUUCUUUUUCUUUUCGACUAUUCUUUUUUUUUUAUGACAGACACAGACGUAACAAUCAAAUUUUGAUUCUUGAUUGGAUUUGUCGAACAAAAUAUUAACCGUUUUUUUAAUUCCUUCAGAUUAGUUAUUCAAUUGAAGAAUAAGUCUAUUUUUUCUGGUUCUAAGGCUAGUAGUUCUAGGGGUCGACUCACUUUUCAAAUUGUUUCUGAUUAUUAAGAAAAGGUAACAAAGAUAAAAUACGAGCUUGUUUUAUAGCAAUAGUAAUUAAUCAUUGUUGUUUUAAAGUUACUCUAUUCACCCGUCUAGAUAAUAUUUUUCCUUGUUCACUAAUAAAUCAACUAAUUAAACUCAUGUUUCUAUAAUCAAUUCGAUCCCCCGAUUGGAUCGGGGGCAAACGCCGACGAAAAGAUCGCUUGGAUUUAGUAAAAGGUCGCUUAGAUUUAUUCAUAAUUUUUUAUUCCUUACCUAUAAAAUACUAUUUUGAUCGGAUCAAAAUAAAAAAGAUUUCUAUUUCUAUAUAGGAUAGAGUUUCUAUAUAGAAUUAAGAAUAUAAGAUUUGAUUUAUUUCUAUUAUUUUAUUUGUUUAUAUUCAAAAUAAAAAAGAUUUCUAUUUCUAUAUAGGAUAGAGUUUCUAUAUAGAAUUAAGAAUAUAAGAUUUGAUUUAUUUCUAUUAUUUUAUUUGUUUAUAUUUAUAUAUAUGUAAUAAUACAUAGAUACUCUCAUUAUUCCUGUUCUUAAAAUAAAAUUUGACAUACAAGCACUCAAUUUUAUCUAUUUCUUGAAUUCCCCAUGAAUUGUAUGUUUAUAACAAUAGGGACAGAAUUUUCUUAGUUCCAAUAGACUAGGAGUGUUAUGCCGAUUUUUUUGAGUAAUAUAUCUCGAAAUUCCAGCUGAUUCUUUCUUAAUAUCAUCUCGAACACAACUGGUACAUUCCAACAUAAUUGUUACUCGAACAUCUUUACCUUUGGCCGUGAUUCACCUCCAAUUUAUGAUUCACCCCCAAUUUUCUAUUUUAAUUUUAGGGUCCAUAAAGAACAAGAACCAAAAAAAUAGAAGCUGUUAAUUAAAAAAAAAUGUCUUAAAUAUUUCGUUGCAAUGAAUAUUAAUUAGUAAUUAAAUAAAACGAAAAUAAUAAGUAAUAUAUUUAUUUUUUGAAAACUAUAUCUCAAAUCUUUGUACAAUAUUUUUAUUUAAGUAUCUCGUAGGAUACUAUUUCCCUAGCAACACCUUUUUUUUUAAUUGGAUCCUGAACCCUCGUUUUUAUGACCUUUCGGCCCCCCCCCCUUUUUUCUAUUUAUGUAAAUUUGAAAUUGAUAGGAUUUGCCUAAAAAAAGUAAUUUUUUUAAUUAUACUUAUAUAUAUGUUUGUUAUCUGAUAUGAAACAAAAAAAAAAGAAGGAUGUGGAAAACAAGAUAGGAAUUGUUUACAAUGACACUGUAAACCAAUCGAAAGGGAUGUAGCGCAGCUUGGUAGCGCGUUUGUUUUGGGUACAAAAUGUCACGGGUUCAAAUCAUGUCAUCCCUACCUAUUACUGCUCUUCUAAGCAGUAACGAGGAAUCUAUUUUAGAUUUAUCUUUUUUUUUUAAAUAAAAUUGGACAUACAUAUAACUCUGAAAUUUAUGAUAUACUAUGAUAUAGUAUAUAGUAUAUACGUACAAAAUUGUUUCGAGUUAAAGAAUGUCCUCUUUCUAGCAUUUUCGUUUUUUUUAAUAAAAAACAAGAAAAGCGCUCUUAGUUCAGUUCGGUAGAACGUGGGUCUCCAAAACCCAAUGUCGUAGGUUCAAAUCCUACAGAGCGUGAUGUCACUCUUGUUUAUUAGAUUGUUUUCUUCCUGCUCCUAGAGAUCAGUUUUGGAUAUUGGAUUGGUUCUAUGUUCAGUUUUGUUUUAACAAUCGUCAGUGUUUUUUUCUCAACUAUUUUACAUUCUGUCUUUUAUAAACUUUGCACGUUGCAGCAUAUUCAAUUAUUUUAUCAUUUUUGUGAUUUCUCUUCUUUUUUGUCAUCUUGUGAUUUCUUUUGAAAGGGCUACUGAAUAGCAAGAAUAUCUUUCUUGGUUUAUUUACCAAAUCAACAUGUUUUAAAUUAUAUAUAGGUCGAAUAACAGAUUCCUUUAUAUAAAAAGUAUAAUAUCUUCAGAACACAAAAUUCAAAAUUGAUCUAUGAAAACGUCCAAAGUAAAAGACAUUUGAAGAGUUGGACGGCAAUGUAUUUUCCAUAUUAUAGUUUUUUUGGAAGAUGGAUGUGUGUUUAUAAAGCAAGUAGAUAUCAAUUUGCCGGUGGAACUGAAGAUCGAUUUUUUUUAGUUUGAUUUAAGUACAUAGGUUCGAGUGUAUAUAUAUAUGUAAUUCCACAUUUAGUAAUGCUUUGCAAUACAUGAAUUUCUUUAUGUAUAUUUAAGCACAAUGAUCAUGGGAACUAACACUGUAAACUGUUGCAAGAGAAACAUAACAGCUACACAAACCUUGCAAUAAAAAAUGAAUUUGAUAAAAAUGUUACUAAUCACAUUGCCCGUCUAAAAAAGAAGAAGAUAGUUUUAAUAAAAUGUCAGUAAAAUCUUCUCGUUCUAUGCUUAUUGGUACUGAUUCUAGCAUUCUUAUUAAAAUUAAGAGUUAUUAUUGGUUUGAUAAUGUCUAAUAACAUAUACAAUCCAUUGUUAUUCAAAAAAUUUAAUUUUUAAUGAUUCUAUAAUUCUAUCAAAUUCUAAUGUUAUUGAAUUGGAAUUCUUAACCAUUUAACUUACAAAACAAAAUUUUCAAAAUAAUGCAUACAUAUUCAAGAUUUUUAAAAUCAUUAUAAUAAAAUAGUUUCAUUGACUUUUUAAUAUAGAGCCAUUUUAAUACUCUUUACAAAUUUAACAAAUCUGUUGAUUUUAAGACACUCUAACUAAAUUCAAUUCACACUAUGUCUCCAAAUUAUAAUAGAACUCAAGUAUCAUCUACAAAUAUUGCAAUGUAAUACAUGGAGAAUUAACAUCCGACAAUCAAUUUUACUACAAACCAUACUACUUUAACAUAACAAAGUAAUCAUUUUUUAUUCCCAUACGCAGUACGGGGUAGUAUACUAGUAUUGAAUAAUUGAGAAGCCAUUAACUAUUAUGUAUAUAAUUAGGCGCAAGCGCAUAAAUAAAAACAAUAACUUUUGUUUUUACAAUCAUUUUAUGGUAAGUAAAUCUAAACAAUUAUUUUUAUUUAUUUUGUAUGGUAUAAAAUUAAAUUUAAAUAAUGUUAAGGACAUCAAAAUGCUAUUCUAUUACUCAACCUUGAGAUGGUUUGGGAAUCCAGACCAAAAUAGAAAAACCAACAAAAACUAUAUUCCUAUGAAAAGCUCGAGCAGUCUUGGCUAACGUGUCUGCUAUCCGGUUGUGUGCUCUCGGUAUGUGCAUGAUCUUAAAGUCCUGGAAUUUUCCAUGAAUUAGUGAUAGCUCUCCUAGUUUUGUUGAGAAGCUUGGCCGAGAUGACGGAUCCCGAAUCAUUGAAAUGAUAUCCUGGAAGUCUGUUCCGAAUUUCUGGCAUGUUGUGUGGUGAAGCAUAUUCUCUAUGGACCAAAUAAGAGCAUCUAAUUCUGAAUGCAAAUGUGAUAAUCGUCUCCCUUUUUUUUCGCAACCCUAGGAGUUGUUGUUUUCCAAAUCGUUUAGCAAUACCCAACCAUACCCACUAUAUUGUGAUUCCGAAGACCAUGAUCCAUCUACCAAACAAAUACUCUGGAUAUGACUUGUGCAUUUUUGUGUAUGCUAUGGUGGUUAUGCAUUUUCUGAAGUUCUUUAGUUAGCAUCAAACUUAUGCUAGCCCGAAUUACCCUAGAGCUAAUCGUCUCUCUCAAAUAAGAGAUCGGAUUGUAGUAUUUAGGGAUCAAAUCCACAGGGAGUGUGGACACACAAUAGACUAUGAGAAAUCAGAGUUUAGGUAGGUAAUAAAUAUAAAAGCAGUAAAUUAAUAAAGCAAUAAAUAUAUGUUGUAAGUAAUAUGGGAUAAGCUCUAGACUUAGGGUUUCAGGUAAUCAAAACUAUGAGUUAUAGAUGCUAAGGAUGUGUGAUUUACCAUCCUAGAACUCGAAUGCAAUAGUAAGAUAUCCAACUCUCUCUGUGAGUCUAAUCAGAUGUCUAAAUCCUAUAUUCCAACUCCUGCAUGCGAAUAAGGAACGAGUGUCAAUCGAUACUACAGAUUUUUGAUCGAUACUACAGAGUGUCAAUCGAUACUUAUUUUGACAAGCAUUAACGCUCAAAUCGAUAUGUUCAUUAAAGUAAUUAAACUAGCUCUCGCAUGCGCCUAACAACCUAGCUCAGCAUAAUUAUAUUCAAGUAAUGAACUCACUUUCCUGGUUGUUAAUUAUCCUAAAUCCAAGGUUCUAGUUAGCUAAUCUAGAACACAAGCAGUUAGAUCAAUUAUGUGAAUGAUCAAAUUAAAUCACCCUAGCAGUUCUAUGUUUCAAUAAUUCAUCAAAACUCUAAUAAACCAUAAAUCUAACAUGAUGAUUACUCAUACAUAAUUAAGCAAGACAUAAAAAAUAACUAAAUGAAUUUCAUAAAUAGAUAGAGUAAUAGAUACUGGAGCUCCAAUACAAAGCUCUGAAAGAGUCUUGAUCUUCUCUCCAAACUAAACACUUCUAAAUAAAUAUGUCUUCUAAAGCGUGUCUGCCUAAACAAUGGCUUAGAAACUAUAUAUACUAGGGGCAUUGCCCCUGUGCAAGCGCGGGGUUGUGGACAGAGUUUUUUUUUCAUCUCAAUAUUUGAUAGGGUUAUUGUAGUUGUGAAUUUUGCGGUUUGGGUUGAUCAUUGUUUUUCAAGUUUUUUAUUGUUAUAGGGUUAGAGUUGUGAUGCUGAACUGUGUAGGUAUUGUUCUCCACUUAUGAAGGACUAAACUGUAUUAGUAAUGUGAUUGAUAUAGUUCGUGGUGUUGCUUGUUGUGUCACUGAGACUUAUUUUUUGUUUGUCUUUUUAAUUUGUUUCUUGUAUUGUUGAGAGUACAUAAAUUAUAUUAAGGUUGUUGAGAGUAUCUUUUGUUUCUGAAUAUUUUUUUUGCAGCUUAGUUGUGUAAGUUGUGUGUAUUAAGUAAUAAUUUUUAUUAUCCUUAUUAUGUUUGUUAUAUGUUUUAUUUUUAUUUUUUAACUUGUUGCUUUUACCAGACAUUUAAAACAAAUACAUGAAGACUUGUAGAAAUAACUAUAAAAUGAGUGACAAUUCUGAGUAUUUGGGCCUUAAUGGGUUUUAAACGAAUUUAUGUAUUUCUCAUAAGAAGACAAUAGCAUUGGCCUGUUGACAUUGAACAUGUAAGAUAUUUUCAUAAGACAAGAGUAGUGAGCAGGUGGAGAUGUUGUUGCCGCCUUUGUGUCUGUUGGGAUUGUCUCUUGUAUCUCUUGGUGUGCAUGUGUUUGUUUCUCUUUUAUUUGAUGAGUAACAUGUAAACAAAAAUCGUUGUUAGUUGUAUUUAUCAGAGUUCAUAACUUGCUAUGCUUUUUUUGUUUAGGUGAUUUCACUGAUCUUGGUUGUCGUCUUCGUCUUCUUCGUAAGCAUCUGCGAAAGUAAGUUUGUAGAUUGUUAAAUAGCUGGCUGUGCAGUUUGUAUUUGUUUAGCUGACUCGAUGUAUGUGUCGUUGAGUUUUAGUUGAGGUGAUUGGUUUGGUAUAUUUGUUUUGAAGUUUAUUUAUAAGAUUAGACAAAAAAAGAGAGAUGAUCAUUAAUGAUUCAUAUUUUUGGGGAUUCUAGUUUUUGGUGUUUUGAUUGUUUGGGUUGUUGUGAUUUCUUUUAAGCUGUAAAAUAAAGGUUUGUACGAAAUUAGUUUGAUGAGUAAGGGAGAUAAAUAGACGACCACAGAUCUUGGGUAUAAAAUAUUUUUGAUCAUUGAUGUUAGCCCAAUAUAUACAGUAAUAUGAAGGGAAUUGUGUGUUGGUUGUUUCUUACGGGUCAAUGAGGAGACGGAUAACGACUCGAACUGUUUCUUUGGUGAGGUCAGAGCCCUAGACAGAACGGAUUUGCCCAUCCACAUCUGCGAGUUUAAAUAUCAGUUAUGAUAUCUAACAAUAAUAUAAACUCAGCUGCAAUAUGAUAAUAUACAUGAGAGUUCAAGGUUUAUGUUCGCAAUCACUUGGAAAUUGUCGAACAGCCUAAUCAUGACUGGAGAUUAAUCUCAGGAGCACCCGUGAUGACUUCAUCAAUAAUGGUUGGUGGGAUGAAUGAGGAAUGGAUGAUCAGUUAUCUUGUACAUUCUUGAGCACCUAGCAACCUCAAAACGAUCGACUUUCACAGUAGAACCGACUUUCAGAGAUGGCUUGUAAUGAUUAGCACGUCCGGCGGGAAUGUACCCAUCAAUCACAGAAUCUGUAAACAAUAUUAUUCAACAAAGAAUAAGGAAAUCAAAUAAAAACAAUUAUGUUAGAUAAGUGUGAUAGAUCGAAGAUUAACAUUGAUUCUGCUAGAGUAUCGUUUCCUGAUGAACAUUAAUUCCUCUCUCUUCUCUCUUCUCUGAAUCUUUUCUUUCUUUUAUUUUAUUUUAUUUUUCCUGAUGAACAUUGAUUCUGCUAGAGUAUCGUUUCUGUUCAUCCCUUUUUCUUUUUUUCUGCAAAGUGUAGGCGAAGAACGAGGUCACAUGAAAUUUUCUACCCCUCGCUUUCAGCUUUGUGGGAUCACCCAUUUGAAUUAAAAUAGUGGGGUCAUAGGAAAUUUUCCUACCCUUCUGCAUCUUAGGAAAUCAUCUCAAUCUUUUCUUUUCUUUUCUUAGAUGCCAAAGUGAGGUGAGAUGUAAACCAUAAACACACAGACUUUUACCUUCUAGACUUGCAGGAGGAAUCUGAUCAAGGGAAGAGGGUGGUAUUGGUUUUAGGAUGAUUCAUUAGUUUAAUCUAUCCCUACUGGUGAAACAAUUGUGAAGAUUAAUCCAAUAUCCAGUUUCUCUUCUGGUUCGGAUUUUGCGUGGAAAGUAUUAUCAACUAAGUUUGCCUUUUCAAAUUAGUGUUGUAGAUACCUCUUCAUAUGUAUGGACUUUCUUAUCAGCCAUAAGGAAAUUGCUAAUUUUAUUGAUUAGACAGAAGAUUCAUCCAGGGUUUGAUGUAAAGGCAUGGAGGAUCCUUAGAUUAUAACUACACCUGCAAUGUCAAAUGUUCUUGUUGUCCAUCCUAGAAUGAAAAUUAUCGAUUUCAUUAUAGAUGAUUCAAAGGAAUGUGAUAUUGAAAUAAUGGAGAACUUCAUUGCACAAGAAGAUAUAUUGUGAUUCAGAACUAGGCCAUAAGGCGGUCCUUACAUCGAAACACAUAUUUUUAGAGCUUUACAAAAAGUGUGAUAUACCAUGGAUUUUACCACUUUUAGACCAUGGUAUAUAUAUAGUUUUAGAGUCUAUUAUAUGUGUUUGGAGUCUGUUUUAGAGUAUUUUCAGGUUCAGGUACGUUCUGGAGAACUUUGGUGAUUUUGGAGUUUUUUGAGGUGCAGAACUGCAUAGAUGCGUUAGAUGUUUAACUAUGGAUGGAAACCUUCCCACGGUGAGAUUUAUCUGAUCUUGUGACACAAGGUAUAGCUUUGAGUUAUAUUUCCAAUGUCACUCGUUUGAGGUCAAUCAGCAUGCUAUAGAAUAAGUUAUGCUUUUUUUUGCUGAAGAGUGGUACGUCUACCUCGCGAGAGGAAGCUGUAGAGAAAAUGAAGGAGUGUCGAUCGACGGCCAACCCUUGGUGUUGAUCGACAGUGAUUCCAGAACAAGAGCCGAGUAUAUUUCAAGAUCGACUUAGGCCUAGAAGCCACCACAAAAUUACCAGAAUGACCCUGGACGAUUUGAAACCCUAUUUAUGUGUCUUCUAAGCCAUUGUUGGCGGCUAAGCUUUUUUACGUUUUCCUCUAUUCAUUGUUCUUAGUUUUGGGGUUGGAGAGAAGAGAGAAAAUCCUUCAGAUUCCUCUUGGAACUCCAUUGGUUUUGGUUUAUUAUUGAUUUUUAUUUCAUCUAUUCAUUCUAUGAUUUCUGUGACAACUAUCAUGUCAGAGUAUAUCCACCUACUACGUUUAGGGAUUUUCAAGGGUUUGAAUGAAAUUAUGAAUUAUAGGAUUGCUAGGUUGUUUUUAUAUUCCUACACCAGGGUAAAUUGUAAUAAUAGGAUCUGGAAAAAUUGGAAAAGAACGAGAGUGUGACUGAUUAUUUGAACCUAGAAUCGUAGGACAAUUGGGAGGCACUAGAGUGUAAUCCCGAAUCGUGUUGGAUUUGAUACCUAGGCGCAUACGAGAGUUGGUCUAGGAAUUUAGUCGAACAUUAUCGAUCUGAGCGUUAAUGCUUAUCUGAGGAAGCAUCGAUAGAUACCUAGUCAAUAGUAUCGAUCGACGCUCAUUCUUUGUUCGCAUGCGAGAGCUGGAACAAAGACUUAGUCAUCUGAUUAGUAAUUUCAUGCAAGAGCUGAAUUACUUAUUUAUUGAAGUCGAGUUCUACAAUCAACCCUAAGCAUCUAUAGAUUAUAGUUCUGAUAACUUAAAUGAAACCCUAAGUCUAGCAACCCAUCCUUCCAUCACAACAAACUCCUGAUUUACUGCUUUAUUAUUGACUGCUUAUACAUUAUUUGAUCUAGCAUAGUCUGAAGCUAAAGUCUAUUGUGUGAGAUAUCGAGUCUCUGUGGAUAUGAUCCUUAACUACUGCAACCGAUCUCUUAUUUGAGAGAGUUUCUCUUGAAGGUUAAUUUGAUCAUAUCAGAGUGGUGCACUAUUAAGUUUGGAUAAUGAGAUGACAUACAUAUCGUAAGGUCGAAGAAGAUGUCGUAUAUUCAGAGCCAAGUAUAACGCAGUUCCAAGCCUUCACUUGGAAAAUUAAUGCUCUUCAAAAUAUAUGUCAUUUUAUAUGACAAUAAGUCACAUGACAUGUGGCUAUCAUAAAGAAUUUGACUCCUCGUCAUACGCAAUAUAACAAUAUUUGUCUAGAUAUAGGGAACAUGAUGAGUCUGUAACUCAUGUUGUUUUUGAAUGUCACCAUGUUUACAAGCAUGGGCCUUAACAGCUAGGUCUUCUAAUUCGAAUAUAUUCCUUGUCUCCAGUAUAAUAUGGAUUAUAUUGUUUUCUGAAGAACAAUAUUGAAGAUUCAAAACUGGACAAAGAUCAUUAUUUGUGGAUAAUCUGGUAUCUCAUGAAAGAUAAAAUGAUAAAUUGUUCAGAGAGAUUGACUCACUUGAGCCGAUCAGAUAUGCAUGCAUAAGGAGAAUGUAUUGUUAGGCAUGGUUCACGAAAAAUUCACCAGCAGUUAGUUUGAGUCAACCACUACCAACAUUAAUAUCUCAAGCAUUAUGAUUAGAGAAUAUAUGUUUGAUAGAUGAUUUUUGGACCUCCAAAUCGAUCUUUAGUGGCUGGGUUGGAAAUAUACUUCUCGAUAAACCUAACUUAUGGAUACAUAAAAUCAAAGACGAAGGGAAUCUGAUUUGCACUCAGAUAUAGAAAUAUUUGGUUGGAUAAUGGGAAGCAUGUUACAUCACUUACGUGCCAUCAGACUAAAAGGACCUCAUGUAUGAUCGAUUUUCUCAAAAAAGUUGAAAGAGAUAACAGAGCUGCGAAGAAGAUUUCACGAUACUAUACAUACGUCGGAGAUAGAAUGCGAUUAAUAAUUCUUUAGGUAGAACUGCACUGUUAGUUAUUAUAUUUUGAUUUAUCUACCCAACUCAUUUUUUGACUAAUAAAAUAACUUUUUUGUGGUUGACAAAAAAAAAAAAAUUUGUUGUGAGGAAAAAAAUUACAGAAAAUAAUAAAUAUAAAAUACCACUUCUUAGAAAUUAAAAGUAUAAAACUCAACAACAAACGGUUACAAAGUUUGUCUUUUAUUUUACCCUUCUUUAUUAUUUUACAGAAUUUAAUAAUCGGAGCCUGGAAGUUAAUUCUUUUUUUUUUCCACUGAAAUUUUAUUAAACGGGUCAUGGUCCAAACUGGACCAAGCCCAACAUAACAAACAAAUGCCCAAACUACAGGCCCAAAUAUAACAAACUCCUUGGGCCGUAAGCCCAAAAGUAAGAAACCCGUUGAGGAAGGUAUCCACGCGUCCCACCACGUGGACGAACGCCCGGCGUCCUGAAACACACGUCAAGGAGAGAGCAGACCGCCUUCCACCGGCGAAGAGGGGAGACUCGACGGAACUCCGCCGUCAAGUAGAGCCUUACCAAUGAAGAGCAGCUCACUAAGGAACCAUCUUCAUGGUUGUUCAAGUUGCACACCGGAUCUAUGUUUCCAGAAGAACCAAUCGCCUACAAUCGAUCCCACCAUCGUCGAUCUUCCUGCUAGAAAAAACUGUCACCUUUAAUGAUAGGUCGAAGCUCGAAGAUGAACCGGCUCGCGAGGAGGAGAGGAAGCGAUGACAUCGAGGCUGAGGAAAGAGAGGUGAUUGGGCAGAGAAGAACGGAAAACAUUGAUCAACGGAACCGGGAGAACCCCGGAGUAAAGCCGCCGUCGCCAUCGAGAAGAGCGUGACGCGGAGUCAAAAGCCGGACAGCUCCGUCGAAGAAACCGCAAACCACCGGAGGCAAAAGCCGGCUAUACUCGUCGAACUAACCGAGUAUACCAGAGGCAGAGUCGCCAAAAGAAACCGGCGACAGUCAAAGGAGCUUUAUCUCGAUCUCUUCUUCGUGAAGGAUCCUAGAAAGAGAACGAAGAAGAGAGAGAAGCCCAUUUAGCCUGGAAGUUAAUUUAUUGUUGAAGUUUUUUUAGGAAUCUUUUUUUUUAAACGGUAGUCAAAAGAAGAAUCCUGCAUUCUUGCCACAUGUCACUGUUCCGUAAGCCAGCCGUCACUUGAAGUAACCGCUUGUUAAUUUAUUAUGUAGGCGGUCCCCCCCAAGUCAACUCUGGCUUCUUUGCUUCCACUCAAUCUGCUUACGCAACUCAACAAAUACGCAGGCUCGCAUCAGUAAAUACAUACAUGUGUAUACAUACAUAUCUUUAUAGAGAUGCUCAAAUAUCAGAAUCGUGCCUUUUAAGGAAAUUGUAGCUUGCAGAAUCACAUAUGUACUUAUCCCAUCCUAUGUUUUUUUUUUUGCUUUAAGUUUUACUUAUCCCAUCCUAUGUUUCCACAAAUUCUUCUUUUUUUUUUCCUGAACACCCCACAAAUUCUUCAUAUAAUCGUUUUUCUCCACAUCAUCUCUUUUGUCUCUUUUCCCAUAGAUAUUCACCAAUAAUUCUUGCUAAAUUAUUGUGCACCCGAAUAUUCCCAGUUUUUUCUCUAUCUUCUUGUUCUAUAUAAAGAAAUACCACAAUUCUCAUUAUUACACAGCGGAAAUCUCUUUGUCCUGAGUUUAUGUUGAGAAAUACCACAAUUCUCAUUAUUACACAGCGGAAAUCUCUUUGUCCUGAGUUUAUGUUGUAGAUCAGAAUGAGAUUCUUACUGAAAGUUCUUGCCUUUGUGACACUAGUUUUAGUGUUUCUAAUAACAACAGAAUCAGCUCCUGAAUCUGCUCUUAUCACCAAACUUCCUGGCUUCAGUGGCACUUUUCCUUCAAAACACUACUCCGGGUAAAAAUUGAGUUCUCUGUUUUCUUUCUUUCGAGCUGUAUAUAUUAUAUAGGCCGAAAACUCGAGUAACGUCAUUUGAAACGUGUACAAUGGCCAAAACUGAGUUCUCGUUUAUUAUCAAUUUUGUAGUUUAGAAAACGUUCUAUCUUUUUGCAUUUUUGAGGUUCUAUGUUAUUCUUUGGUUUUGAUGUUAAAGGUACGUCACAAUUGAUAAGGAGCAUGGGAAAAAUCUGUGGUAUUACUUUGUUGAAUCAGAGAUGAAUCCUUCGAAAGAUCCGGUCGUACUCUGGCUCAAUGGUGGUCCAGGUUGCUCAAGCAUGGAUGGAUUUGUAUACGAGCAUGGUCCUUUCAAUUUCGAACCAGCAAAGACAAAUUAUAGUCUCCCACUCCUGCAUCUUAAUCCUUAUAGUUGGUCAAAGGUAAAUUUUCGAAGUUUAUAAAUCGUAUCAAUAUCUACUGUUUCCUUUCCCUAGUUGUAAAUAAUGUUUUCAUGUACGAUUGUUUUCAUUAUCAGGUGUCUAACAUGAUAUACCUUGAUUCACCUGUUGGUGUGGGAUUCUCUUACUCAAAGAACGAAUCUGACUACAUAACCGGUGAUAUGAAAACCGCGGUUGACUCUCACGCGUUCCUUCUCAAGGUAAAUCAAACAAAUAUUUACAUUCAAAGAUUGAACUUAAUUCAAUGAACUCAUAAAUAUACCGUAGUAUAAUUUAUUUUUUAAGAGCUCCUUUUUAAUUAAAUGUUCUGUACUUCUAUUGGAAAAAUAGUUAUAUAUUUUUAAGUUUUUAAAGCUUUUCACAGAAAUUACCAUGAAAACUUUAACAACUAAUGGAAUUUCAAAAAAUAAAAAACAAAUAAAUUUUGAAAAAGAAAAAAAUGAUUUUCAAAUACUCAUUCCAGUAACAAAAGUAACCAAAAGAGUUCUUCAGAAAUUAAAAUUGUUAAGAUAGAAAUGUAUCUCUUUGAAUAACCCACACCCCAAGUAUUUGGGUGUUAUUCAGAUCACUAAAUGCUUCUUCCGGAUGUUACUUACCAGUGGUUCCAGAUGUUUCCCGAGUUUCAGUCAAAUCCGUUUUACAUCUCUGGAGAAUCUUAUGCCGGAGUUUACGUCCCAACUCUGGCUUCAGAAGUUGUCAAAGGUAAUUUACCUUCUCCUUUCAUGUAUAAAUAUAAUCGACCAUACAUCUUCCUGAUCUUUUUCCUCCAUUUUGUUUGGUUAUGUUGCAGGGAACAAAGAAGGGUUAAAGCCGGCUCUUAAUUUAAAGGUAGCAUAGAAAACGAGUUAGGAUUCAGUUUCAUGAAUUCUCGUUUGGUCUCAUACAAGGAUUGGAUGAUCUGUUCUUUUUACGGUACAGGGAUAUUUGGUUGGAAAUGGAGUUGCAGAUUCCAUGUAUGACGGAAACGCUCUUAUCCCGUUUGCACACGGGAUGGGCCUGAUCUCUGAUCAGCUCUUUGAGGUUUUCUCAAUGGAUUCUUACUUGUUCUUCCACUCUUUUUUCUGGUUAAUAAAUCUAACACCUAGGGAGAAAACCCGCAGCACGUUACAAAAGCUUGCAAUGGAAAUUUCUACGACAAUUUUAGCCCUGAUUGCGAGGAACAGAUGGCUAAAGUUUCAAUGGUAAAUAUAAUGUUUUCCAAGAUGUUAAUUUAAAGACAUUAAAAAAAUAGAGAAAUUCUCUAUCUAGGGUUAUUGGUUCUAUGAUUUUCAAACCUGUAUUUAAAUCAUGUGUUAUUGGUUUAAUGAUUUAUAAAUUCUAGAUGUCAAAAAAAAAAAAAAAAAAAUCUAUAUCAAAUCAAGUGUUAUUCAAUCGUACGGAUUUACUAAUAAAUUUGAUUUUAUAAUGGAUUUGAAUGAAUUUGUUUGGAUUUUUUUUGUUAAAAAUACAAAGACAUUUAUAAAUACUAUAUGGAUUUCUAAAUCAAUCAAAAUAUAUAAACCAAAAAUUAAAAAAGUUUUUGUCACAAAUAUAAAUCUUAAAAAUAAAAAUGACCAAAACAGACUUAAUUUUUUUAUCAAAAAAGGUAAAUAUACACUUAUAUACCUAGGGUUAAUUAAUCUAGACAUUAGGAUUUAGAGUUAAGGAGUGGAGUUUAGGGUUUAGGGUUUAAAGUUUAGGGUUUAGGGUUUAGACUUUAGGGUUUAGGGUUUAGAGCUGAGGAAUGAAUUUUGGGGAUAGAAUUUCAAAUUUUAAAAAAUAAAAAAAAUUAAAAUUUUCAAAAUAAAAAAUGUUUUUUUGGUUAUUUUAGUUUUUGAGGUCUAAUUUUAUGAUAAAAACUUAAAAAUGUCUAUCUGAGAGAAUUAACCUUAAGAAUAUUGUGUGAUCAAAGUUUUCAUUUUUUUUCAGGAUAUUGACAGGUUGAACAUAUACAACAUUCUUGAGCCAUGUUACCAUGGAACAUCCCUAUCCGCAUUUGACAUCAAAUCGCUGCCUUCAACUCUUCUGCAGUUAGGCAAAACCGAAAAACCUUUGGCUGUAAGAAAAAGAAUGUUUGGUCGGGCGUGGCCUGUUCGUGCGCCUAUUCUUCCAGGCAUUGUUCCUAGCUGGUCUCAACUCCUUGCUGACGUUUCUGUUCCUUGCAUCGUAAGUAAACAAGAAAAAAAAUAGUGGCUCUCUCUCUCUCUCUCUACUUCAUAGUAAAAGAUGAAACAGUCUACGUUUUAUAUUUGCAGGAUGAUAGAGUUGCAACAGCUUGGCUAAACGAUCCAGCGAUUAGGAAAGCUAUUCAUGCUAAAGAGGUCUCAAACUCUGUUUUGAUCUUAUUGCUAUAUUAUAUUAAGAAAAUAUUACUGAUGUGCUUGAAAAUAUUACAGGAGAGCGAGAUAGGAAGAUGGGUACUCUGCACUGGUAAGCUAUCGUUCCAUCACGAUGCAGGAAGUAUGAUCAGCUUCCAUAGAAACCUCACUCUAAGUGGAUAUAGAGCUCUCAUUUACAGGUACUUCAAACAAAACUUAUAACAAUGAUUCUGACGCCUGUAGUUUCGAAAAUAAUGAAUCAAGUUUUGAUUUGAAGCGGUGAUCACGAUAUGUGUGUUCCAUUUACUGGCUCUGAAGCUUGGACACAUUCUCUUGGAUACAAGGUGAUUGAUGAAUGGAGGGCAUGGAUAUCAAAUGACCAAGUCGCAGGGUAAACUUUUCUUUGUGUAGUAAUAUUUUCUGGAGCUCAAAAUGUUUUCUACAAUUGUUGCAUAUUUUUUUGUGCAGGUAUACCGAAGGAUAUGCAAACAAUCUAACAUUUUUAACCAUAAAGGCACUGAAUCACAAUUCUCUACUGAAAUUGGAAAAAUGGUUGCCAAGUCUAUAUUCGUAUGAUGUUAUUAUCUUUGUGUUGGUAAUUUCAGGGUGCAGGACAUACAGUUCCUGAGUACAAACCGCGGGAGGCUUUGGAUUUCUAUAGCCGAUUUCUAGCAGGAAGCAAGAUUUAAGAGAGAUCUCUAUUGAAAAAUAAGUACAGAGCAUCAUAUCGUGUAUUGACUCGUUUAAAUAAAAAAAAGGAGCAUGUGCCAUUUAGCUUGUGAAUGGUUGAUUCUUCAUUCUUCAUGAUAAAACACCAUGCAUACCUCUUCUUCCAGUAAAAUGCUUGCCGUUUCUUACUUCAACAGAUGGGCUCUUUGCCUUUCAGAAAAAGUCUACAUAUUUACAAGAAUGCUCCUGAUAAGUUUUUGCCUAGAAUAUAUAUAUGUUGUGCCAUUGUUUACACAAAAACACACACACACGGAAACUCAGAAUAGGUUUUUAGCUUAAGGUUUUGGUGAGAAGCUCUAAGAACUCUUUCAGAGUAUUGUAUUGGAACUCGAGUUUUUCUAUCUCUAUCCAAUUAUGAAAUUCAUUCAGUUUAUCUCAAUGUCUUGUUUGAUUAUGUCUAAGUAAAUACCUUUUUAGACUUUUGGUUUAUAUAGUUAUGAGGAAUUAUUGAUAUUAGAACUGCUAAGGUGAUAAAUUGACAUCAUUCACAGAGUUAGGACUUAUUGCUUGCAUUCUAGAGUAGCUAACUAGGAUCAUGAUUCAGGAGUUGACAACUAUGAGAGUAGGCUCAUACCUGAUAGUAAUUCUGUUGAGCUAAGUUAUUAGGCGCAUGCGAGCCGCUGCUUUGGAAGCUGAGAACGCUGCAGCUAAUGUAGCAAACGCUGAGGCUGCUCGACCUAGAACGUUGGCUGACUACACUGCUACGAAAAACACUAUCGGAUUUCAAAGUAGCACGAUUUAAUUCAAAAAUCUCACCCAAUUGAGCCCGUCUAGCAUAUAUUUUCACAGGUGCGGGAUCACUAUAACUCACUCCAUUGAGUUCACCACCAUAAAACUCGACAGUUACACCUACUUGUUCGACACUAUAUUUAGAUUCCGCCCUUCUAAACGGGACGUCUGCUCUAACAAUUCUGUCUCCGUCUACCAAAACAACCGAAAAUGUUUCAAAAGAAGUAGGCAUACGGCGUACAAAAAGUUCACGCCCUUCUUUAUUUCUAAAGACGAGGUGUUCUAACCAUCCAACAGCUAUUCUAUCCCCAUUGUCCAUUGAACCUGCUCGGAAUAAUCCCCCUUUUGCUGGAUUAUUACCAAUAUAAUCAUAAAAAGCUAAUUUUUCAGGAACCAAGCUUCUGAUACACUUUGAUUUUCAGCUAGUCCAACACUAACUCUUCGAUAUAUUUCUUGUUGAAAGUAUCCCUGAUCCCAUUGAUAACAAGUAGGACCAAAUAAUCGAUGGGAGUAGUUGCAGAACCAUGCCACAUAGUUCCAGCAACAAUAAAAGCUGCAAAAAAGACAGCAGCAAUACUACUGGAAAUGACAGUUUCAAUAUUUUCCAUACGUAAUCCUUUGUAUAGACGUUGAGGUGGACGAACACUAAGAUGGAAUAAGCCCGCUAAUAUACCCAACGUCCAUGCUGCAAUAUGAUGAGAGGCUAUUCCUCCCGGAACAAAAGGGUCAAAACCCUCCACACCCCACGCCGGAUUUACAGGUUGGACCUUUCCGGUUAGUUCAUAAGGGUCGGAUACCCAUAUUCCAGGACCAUAUAAUCCUGUUACAUGAAAUGCGCCAAAACCAAAGCAAGCCACUCCUGAAAGAAAUAAAUGAAUUCCAAAAAUCUUGGGCAAAUCCAAAGAAGGUUUUCCUGUACGUUCAUCACAAAAAAUUUCUAGAUCCCAAUAUACCCAAUGCCAAAUAGCUGCCAAGAAGCACAAGCCAGAAAACACGAUAUGUGCUGCGGCUACCCCUUCGUAACUCCAAAGACCCGGAUUCGUUAUAGUCCCUCCUGUAAUAUUCCAACCGCCCCAUGAAUUGGUUAUUCCUAAACGAGUCAUGAAAGGUAUAACGAACAUACCUUGUCUCCACAUUGGAUCAAGAACAGGGUCGGAGGGAUCAAAAACAGCUAAUUCAUAUAGAGCCAUGGAACCGGCCCAACCAGCAACCAGAGCAGUAUGCAUUAUAUGAACCGAAAGCAAACGACCGGGAUCAUUCAAUACAACAGUAUGAACACGAUACCAAGGCAAACCCAUGGAAAUACCCCUUUAUCAAUGAAAAAUAGACACUAUGUAACUUUAUUGCAUUGGAAAAAACUAUGUUACGGACCCCCCCUUUUUAGGUAAUUAUUUCGGAGAAAGGAUUAAUAUUUGUUCUAUUCUGUUAGUAAUAAUGGAACAAUUCGAUUCAUAGGAAAAAAGGGAAGCGGAUCUAUUCUAUAUCCGAUAAGUACCAAUACGCAAUGGGGGUGAAUCCUAUGUUAUAUGAACCAAGAUAGCUAUUGUUGUUCAGAAGCCCGUUCGUAAAAAGUUUCCUUUAAUUUUUAUUCAUUCUCUCUUACUUUACUUUUAUUUUAUAUUUUAUUUUAGCUUAUUCAACUUCUGUAUUAAAUAUGAUUAAUUUAAAUAUGAUUAAUAUUAAUAAAGUAGGAAAAAAGGAUAAUAUGAUUAAAAAAAAGGAAACCCCAAUCUUACGUUUCCACAUCAAAGUGAAAUAGAGAACAUCAUUCUCUUUUUUUUUUUCAUUUCAUGCCCAUUGGCGUUCCAAAAGUACCUUUUCGAAGUUCUGGAGAAGGAGAUACAUCUUGGGUUGACAUAUAGUGCGACUUGUCAGAUAUAUUGGGCUAUAUGGGAUUUCCCCAUUUUCUCCCUCGAUCGAGAUAUCCUCUGUUUCGCUCAAAAAGAUUGAUUGAAUUAUCCAAAAUUUGUAACGCGAAGCGCAAAAAAUUAAUUAUAAUUAAAUGCAAGGAGUAUUUAGAUUGAUAUUAGAUUAUCAAAUUUUUUUUAUGGUUUACGUGAUCGGACUAAUAAAAUUAAGUAUCCAGGCUCCGUUUAGCAAAAAUCCAAUUGAUAAUUAAUAUAUAAUAUUUUUAUAAUUACUACUUAAUAUGAUAUGAAUAUGAUAUCAAAAUUAUGAUAAAAAUUCUAUUAAAAAAUAAAAAAAAUACAAAAAAUUGAAACAGGGUGAUCUAAAACUGUUGAUCAAAUAAAAUAAUAUAAUUAAAAAUUUAUUGACUAUUUGACAGAAGACAUGUGAAAGAAAUGAAUUGAAAAAAAAAGAAGGAGUAGUAAAAAAAAAAAAGACGCGGUAUUUGGUUCAUUUGUCCUAUAUGUGCAAAUCAAAAUCGGGCAAAUUUUUCCUUUUACUCGGAGUAGAGCAUAAACCUAAAAAAACGGAAUAAAAAAAGGAAGAAGCCCAUUCAGGAACAAGAAAAAACCAUCCCCAUUUCAACUGAAUCUCGAUGAAAAAAAAAUAUCAAUGAAUCAAGUUAGUCUGACAGGCCUAAUCAAUCGUUUUAUUAUUUUAUUAUUAGGAUUAUAAUAUCUAAUAAAUAAAAGGGGCCAAAACUUAUUUAUUUUUUCUUUUACUUUUAAAAGGGAAGCAAGCCCUUCCCUUAUUAAGUUAGAAAGAAAAGCCUUCUCUGAAAAAAAAGGGGGGGUUGGAAUCGACACAUUGAUUUUUUAACAAUUUUUGUUGAACCGUAUGCAUCAAAAGGUGCCUGUACGGCUCCUAAGGAAUAAAAUUUUAUCCUAAUCAACCGACUUUAUCGAGAAAGUAUUGUUUUUUUAGGCCAAGAGGUUGAUACCAAAAUCUCGAAUCAACUUAUUAGUCUUAUGAUAUAUCUCAGUAUAGAAAAGGAUACCAAAGAUCUUUAUUUGUUUAUAAACUCUCCUGGUGGAUGGGUAAUAUCUGGAAUGGCUAUUUAUGAUACUAUGCAAUUUGUGCGACCCGAUGUACAGACAAUAUGCAUGGGAUUGGCCGCUUCAAUAGCAUCCUUUAUCCUAGUCGGAGGAGAAAUUACCAAACGUAUAGCAUUCCCUCACGCUUGGCGCCAAUGAGUUUUUUUAUUUUAGAGAAAAAAUACUAUACAUUCGCCCUCGGAAAUAUGAAUUAGUUAAGUAAUAAUAGCA